CGUAGGCGGGAAUGCAAGUCAGGUGUGAAAACUCCGGGCUCAACUUGGAGAUUGCAUUUGAAACUGUGUUUCUUGAGGGCAGGAGAGGAAAGUGGAAUUCCUAGUGUAGCGGUGAAAUGCGUAGAUAUUAGGAGGAACACCAGUGGCGAAGGCGACUUUCUGGACUGUACCUGACGCUGAGGCGCGAAAGCGUGGGUAGCAAACG
rnacentral:rRNA from 1 species